CCUACGGGAGGCAGCAGUGAGGAAUAUUGGUCAAUGGACGAGAGUCUGAACCAGCCAAGUAGCGUGAAGGAUGACUGCCCUAUGGGUUGUAAACUUCUUUUAUAUAGGAAUAAAACGUUGCACGUGUGCCUUUUUGUAUGUACCAUAUGAAUAAGGAUCGGCUAACUCCGUGCCAGCAGCCGCGGUAAUACGGAGGAGCCGAGCGUUAUCCGGAUUUAUUGGGUUUAAAGGGAGCGUAGAUGGGUUGUUAAGUCAGUUGUGAAAGUUUGCGGCUCAACCGUAAAAUUGCAGUUGAUACUGGCAGUCUUGAGUACAGUAGAGGUAGGCGGAAUUCGUGGUGUAGCGGUGAAAUGCUUAGAUAUCACGAAGAACCCCGAUUGCGAAGGCAGCUUACUGAACUGUAACUGACAUUGAUGCUCGAAAGUGUGGGUAUCAAACAGGAUUAGAUACCCGGGUAGUC
rnacentral:rRNA from 1 species